rnacentral:misc_RNA from 1 species
GGACAAUCCUGCAAAAGCAUAUCCUGCGUAUGAAACAAUGUCAAGGAGUGGAGCCUCUCCACUACCCAAUGACAACAAUGUCAUCUUCAGCAAUGAAACUUGUAAAAACCAGCCAACCAAUCCCUUGAUAAACAGCCAACUCAGAGCUUCUGGACUAAACCUCCCCUGCAGACCUAAUGAUAAGCCAGCAAGAACAACAUAAGUACCAAAGGCCAUAAAUGGAAUGUAUAAAUCUGGAGCAUUUAUGUCAUAGAUAGGGGGCUUAUAGGAUAGCC